GUUUGAUCCUGGCUCAGGAUUAACGCUGGCGGCGUGCAUAACACAUGCAAGUCGAACGAUGAAACUUUACUGACUUCUUCGGAAAGAUUUAAAGCGGAUUAGUGGCGGACGGGUGAGUAACGCGUGAGUAACCUGUCUUACACAAGGGGAUAGCCGUUGGAAACGACGAAUAAUACCCUAUAAAACUAUCACUUCGCAUGAAGCGAUAGUCAAAGUGUUAGCGGUGUAAGAUGGACUUGCGUCUGAUUAGCUAGUUGGUGAGAAAAAAGCCCACCAAGGCAACGAUCAGUAGCCGGCUUGAGAGAGUGUACGGCCACAUUGGGACUGAGACACGGCCCAGACUCCUACGGGAGGCAGCAGUGGGGAAUUUUGCACAAUGGGGGGAACCCUGAUGCAGCGACGCCGCGUGAUUUAGAAGGCCUUCGGGUUGUAAAAAUCUUUUGUAUAGGAAGAAAAUGACAGUACUAUACGAAUAAGGUCCGGCUAAUUACGUGCCAGCAGCCGCGGUAAUACGUAAGGACCGAGCGUUGUCCGGAAUCAUUGGGCGUAAAGGGUACGUAGGCGGGUCAUUAAGUUAGAAGUCAAAGGCUAUAGCUCAACUAUAGUAAGCUUCUAAAACUGGAGACCUUGAGUAAUGGAAGGGAAAGUGGAAUUCCUAGUGUAGCGGUGGAAUGCGCAGAUAUUAGGAGGAAUACCGGUGGCGAAGGCGACUUUCUGGCCAUUAACUGACGCUGAGGUACGAAAGCGUGGGUAGCAAACAGGAUUAGAUACCCUGGUAGUCCACGCCGUAAACGAUGAGUGUUAGGUGUCUGGAGUAAAUCUGGGUGCCGCAGCUAACGCAUUAAACACUCCGCCUGGGGAGUACGCACGCAAGUGUGAAACUCAAAGGAAUUGACGGGGACCC
rnacentral:rRNA from 1 species